AGGAUUCUAAGGCCUGGGCUGCAAAGCCCAGGUUCAUAAGUCUGGAUCUGGACUCAGAUCUAGACUUUAAGGUCAUCGCUCUGGGCUCCAGACCUGUAUUUGGGGUCCUUAGGCUCUGGGCAGGGUCUCCUCAUCACUGGAGACCCUAGAAACAGGAACCAGAGCUCAGAAGGAGGGCUGCAUAGCUGCUGACCUAGCUACCCUCCUCACAGCUCAUUUCCUUCCUUUCUGUGUAGACCCACAGCUCCCAGCUCAGGGACCACUGGGGUUGAAGCCCUGUGAAAGCCCAGCCAAUGAGGCAGUGGCUCAGCCCCAAGCCCCCUGCCUGGGUGACCUGUCCUACCCACAGCAUUUCCACUGGGAAGAAAUCAAUGAUACCUCCACAUUUGCCUCCACAGGCUUCAGAUCCACCUGCUCACUGGAUGUCUCCACCUGGGAGAGUCACCUGGGGCCCCACAGGCUGGUUGCAGAUGGCCUCAUACUUGUUGAUGGCCAAGUCAAACACGUGGGCCUGUGAAGAGGUCAGUGUCAGCACACUCAGGGGUAAGAGGCCUGUCUUCCACCUCAGAGGAAUCAGUCCCUGGACUUUCUGGGGAAAGACUGUAGAAGGCUAAUGGCUACAGCACACUGGAGCUGGAGGUGGAGGGAGGGGGAAUUCUAUGUCUCUGUCUGUUUUUCCUAUGGUUGAAAGAGUGAGAAUAAAAAAGUUUAGGAGAAAUUUUAAA